GCCUACUCGACUCAGUGGUUAGAGUAUCGCUUUCAUACGAGGAGAGUCAUUGGUUAAAAUCCAAUAUUAGGUG
rnacentral:tRNA from 1 species